GGGAGGCGCUGCCAGGAAUAACCCGGUGCGUCCACAGCCCGGGAGGGGAGGCGGCCGCUGCGGCUCCCGCACGCACACUGCUGCGGCCCGGGCCUCGCGGCUCCCUCGCGAGCCCGGCGGCCCCUGCCCCGGGCCCAUCGCCGUACAGUGUCAGAAAAAUAAAUAGAGGAAAGAGGAGCCUGGGCAGGCGGUCGGGAUCUCUUCCCUCCCUCCGCGCCCGCCCUCCCUCUGUCCUUAAGGAAAUGCUACCAGACACCCCCCACCAGACACGCUCAGCCUUGGCGAGGAGCGGCCGCCGCGGCAGCGAGAACAAGGGCACCAGGGGGGUUUCCUCCCCCUCCUCCUCUCCCCACUCUUCCUCCUCCUCCUCCUCCUCCUUCUCAGCGGUGACUUUCCAGACCUAAAAUACAACCACGCUGGAAGUACACUGGAAUUAAGAAAGCCGGUGUGAGUGGAUGAGCAUGUCGUUACGUCAGGUGGAGCUAUGGGCCUGAUGGGUGGCUCGCAGUCAGCAAAAACGUUUAAGUCAAAGCGGAAGGAUUGGUGAAUUUACCUGAGAAAUUGAGACUCAAGAGUAUGAGAAUGUGUGACUAGGACCGAAAGCAGAUUUUCAGGUAAUGAUGUGAAUGCUGCUUAAAUGAGGAUUGACUCUGAUAUUCCAUGGUUUCCUUCCUGGUGAGCUCGCUGGCUCGCCACCCUCCACACUCAUCAGCAGCUGGUGUUUCACCCAGUGGUACUGUGAUCUUCACCACCCGUUCACUUGCACAGAAAAAGAUGGCAUCGAUUUAUAUUUAAAAUAAA
rnacentral:lncRNA from 1 species